AUGGACAUAACCAAGUAUGUCAUCAUUGUUAUGUUCAUAUCAUUCAAUGAACUAGAGACAUAUAAUUUAGUUGUUCUGAUUGUGUGUUUUCCGAUGAACUUCUAUUUCAUUGCAGGAUUCAGAAAGAGGAAACCAAAAUCGUUGCAUGGGAAAGCCAACAGAAGGCAAAGUAACUUAUUGUUGCUUGUAAAUAAACUGAGAGAACCAAAGUAGCUAACAAAGUUUGAAUUCGCAGUAAGAGGAGGGUCCUGACAAAAGGAUCUUCUUGCCAGAGGGUCUCUUGUAUGAUCUAAGGGAAGGAGGUUUAAGAGGGCUAGAGGAAGGAGGAACAGCAAAGGAAAUAGAAUUUAAGUUUUUUUUUUCAGUUUUUAGUUUUGGAAUUUGAACUUGAGAUUUAUUUUGUAUUUGAGUAUUAGUUUUUUAAUGUAUAAAAUAAUUAUUGCAAAAAUUAUGUCACUAAUUAUUGUUUGA